rnacentral:rRNA from 1 species
GGCCGCGGGAAUUCGAUUCAGGCCUAACACAUGCAAGUCGAGCGGUAGAGAGAAGCUUGCUUCUCUUGAGAGCGGCGGACGGGUGAGUAAUGCCUAGGAAUCUGCCUGGUAGUGGGGGAUAACGUUCGGAAACGGACGCUAAUACCGCAUACGUCCUACGGGAGAAAGCAGGGGACCUUCGGGCCUUGCGCUAUCAGAUGAGCCUAGGUCGGAUUAGCUAGUUGGUGAGGUCAUGGCUCACCAAGGCGACGAUCCGUAACUGGUCUGAGAGGAUGAUCAGUCACACUGGAACUGAGACACGGUCCAGACUCCUACGGGAGGCAGCAGUGGGGAAUAUUGGACAAUGGGCGAAAGCCUGAUCCAGCAAGGCCGCGUGUGUGAAGAAGGUCUUCGGAUUGUAAUUUAAGGGAGUUGGGAGGAAGGGCAGUUACCUAAUACGUGAUGUUUGA